rnacentral:rRNA from 1 species
UACGGAGGGUGCAAGCGUUAUCCGGAUUCACUGGGUUUAAAGGGUGCGUAGGUGGAUUGGUAAGUCAGUGGUGAAAUCCCCGAGCUUAACUUGGGAACUGCCAUUGAUACUAUCAAUCUUGAAUACUGUGGAGGUCAGCGGAAUAUGUCAUGUAGCGGUGAAAUGCUUAGAUAUGACAUAGAACACCAAUUGCGAAGGCAGCUGGCUACACAAAUAUUGACACUGAGGCACGAAAGCGUGGGGAUCAAACAGG